GACGGAGGAUGCAAGUGUUAUCCGGCAUCACGGGGCGUAAAGCGUCUGUCGGUGGUCAAAUAAGUCAACUGUUAAAUCUUGAGGCUCAACCUCAAAAUCGCAGUCGAAACUAUUAGACUAGAGUAUAGUAGGGGUAAAGGGAAUUUCCAGUGGAGCGGUGAAAUGCGUAGAGAUUGGAAAGAACACCGAUGGCGAAGGCACUUUACUGGGCUAUUACUAACACUGAGAGACGAAAGCUAGGGUAGCAAAGGGG
rnacentral:rRNA from 1 species